GACGAACGCUGGCGGCGUGCUUAACACAUGCAAGUCGAACGGAAAGGCCCUGCUUUUGUGGGGUGCUCGAGUGGCGAACGGGUGAGUAACACGUGAGUAACCUGCCCUUGACUUUGGGAUAACUUCAGGAAACUGGGGCUAAUACCGGAUAGGAGCUCCUGCUGCAUGGUGGGGGUUGGAAAGUUUCGGCGGUUGGGGAUGGACUGGCGGCUUAUCAGCUUGUUGGUGGGGUAGUGGCUUACCAAGGCUUUGACGGGUAGCCGGCCUGAGAGGGUGACCGGCCACAUUGGGACUGAGAGACGGCCCAGACUCCUACGGGAGGCAGCAGUGGGGAAUAUUGCACAAUGGGCGGAAGCCUGAUGCAGCAACGCCGCGUGCGGGAUGACGGCCUUCGGGUUGUAAACCGCUUUCGCCUGUGACGAAGCGGGAGUGACGGUAAUGGGUAAAGAAGCACCGGCUAACUACGUG
rnacentral:rRNA from 1 species